rnacentral:rRNA from 1 species
GAGUUUGAUCCUGGCUCAGAACGAACGUUAGCGGCGCGCCUAAGACAUGCAAGUCGAGCGAGAAAGGGCUUCGGCCCCGGUAAAGCGGCGCACGGGUGAGUAACACGUAGGUAAUCAACCCUCGAGUGGUGGACAACUCUCCGAAAGGAGAGCUAAUACAGCAUGACGGGGCGGCUUUCCGAAGCCGUUUCCAAAGCGGGCCUCUUCACGAAAGCUCGCGCUUGGGGAUGAGCCUGCGGCCCAUCAGCUAGUUGGAGGGGUAACGGCCCACCAAGGCAAAGACGGGUAGCUGGUCUGAGAGGAUGAACAGCCACACUGGAACUGAGACACGGUCCAGACUCCUACGGGAGGCAGCAGUCGGGAAUCUUCCGCAAUGGGCGCAAGCCUGACGGAGCGACGCCGCGUGAGCGAUGAAGGCC